GAUGAACGCUGGCGGCGUGCCUAAUACAUGCAAGUCGAGCGAACAGACGAGGAGCUUGCUCCUCUGACGUUAGCGGCGGACGGGUGAGUAACACGUGGAUAACCUACCUAUAAGACUGGGAUAACUUCGGGAAACCGGAGCUAAUACCGGAUAAUAUAUUGAACCGCAUGGUUCAAUAGUGAAAGACGGUUUUGCUGUCACUUAUAGAUGGAUCCGCGCCGCAUUAGCUAGUUGGUAAGGUAACGGCUUACCAAGGCAACGAUGCGUAGCCGACCGCAGAGGGUGAUCGGCCACACUGGAACUGAGACACGGUCCAGACUCCUACGGGAGGCAGCAGUAGGGAAUCUUCCGCAAUGGGCGAGAGCCUGACGGAGCAACGCCGCGUGAGUGAUGAAGGUCUUCGGAUCGUAAAACUCUGUUAUUAGGGAAGAACAAAUGUGUAAGUAACUAUGCACGUCUUGACGGUACCUAAUCAGAAAGCCACGGCUAACUACGUG
rnacentral:rRNA from 1 species